CUAUUAACCACGUUUUACAUCAUGGCUGUGUCAAUAAUAUCACUGUGUUUAUGAGGUAGUAAUGAUGAGAUUUUGUGUUGACAGGUGAAUUCUCUGGUGUGUUGCUGGGAGACAGGGGGUAUGGCUGGCAGUCCUUUUUCCUAACACCUUUCACAGACCCCCAGGAAGCACAGCAGGCCUACAACCAUGCCCAUGCCUGGACCAGGGCCAGAGUUGAAAUGACCUUUGGCCUCCUGAAGGCACGCUUUCACUGCCUUCACAAAUUAAGGGUCAGCCCUGUGAGGGCAUGUGACAUUACUGUGGCUUUUGGUGUCCUCCACAAUGUGGCCUGCCUGAGGAAGGAGAGGGCCCCCAGAGUGCCACCAGCCAUGGACUGGGACAAUCCGGCAAUCUUCCCUGAUGACGACAGUGGUCGGCUGCUGUGGUGGUGAAAUCCUUUCACAGCAUUAAUGUUCAGAUCGUCUGCAAUGCUGACUGUGUGAUCAGCAAUGUUGUGGCAAAAUGGCCUGGCUCAGUCCAUGACUCCAGAAUCUUUCGGGCCUCUGAAAUCUAUCGGCGCCUAUCACAAGAUGAGCCACACAACCCCUAUUAACCACGUUUUACAUCAUGGCUGUGUCAAUAAUAUCACUGUGUUUAUGAGGUAGUAAUGAUGAGAU